AGUGGUGCGACGUUCAGCGGCAAGCCAGGCGGAAAGUAGGUCAGGUAUAGGGGUUGCUUGUGCCGGGCGUCGUUUUUUUGGCUACGCUGGCGAGCCGCUGUGGGGGGAGGCCACGGACGACACCCCCCUUUUCUAAGCACGAUUAUGAAGAGCCACUGCAAGUCAGAACGCAUAGGUCACAUGUAGAAAGUCACAGAUUCAACUUCUGGCAGAAUCCUGACAAUUGUGUUCACACAUGGAACAUGGAUUAUGUAUGAAAUACGGAAUGUUUAUGACAAAUUGUUGAAUUAG